rnacentral:lncRNA from 1 species
UAUUCUCCUCGUUCUAUUUACACUAUUUGCUCCCUAGAACAUUUAUUCUUUCAGAAAUGUUAAUACAUGCAUAGAUAACAAGAACAGGAAGGGAGGGGGAAGGGGGUUUGACUGUAUGUAUUUGCUUGCGAGUAAAAACUGGGAAGCACCUGGAAAAGGUCCUGUGUUGAAUCUAAAUUGGUAAGAUGUGAUAUACUGAUAUCUAGAGAGAUAACUUAAUUUAUCUAUUGAAGUAAAGCAUUUAAAUGCUUAUACAAUGUUUUUGGAACAUUAAAUAUCUAUUUGAUCAGAAUCUGUGAACCUAAAACCACAAUGAAUAGAAAUGCAAGUUUGUCAUUGUAAACAUUGCAUCGAUGAUGCAUCACAAGUGUUGCUAGAAAACAUCAAGUUAAAAUUGAAGCACCAUGAGUUUCUCUAUGGCUUGGUUUACCA